rnacentral:lncRNA from 1 species
GGCCCAUCUAUAAGAGAUAUGGCCAAUUAACUUCCUAUAGAAUUGGUAUUUAUGUAAGUUAUUAGAAGAUUUAUAAGGUCAUGGAGAUUUCAAAGUCUUUAGUUAGGGAAACACAUGAGGACGGGUAUAAUGUGGUUGAUGCAUACAAUUUAUAUGCUUGAGUCCGCAAAUCCAAAAAGUAAGACGGUAUUGGAAGUUAAUAAUAAUAGAAGGUUAAAGUACUUUUUUGUCGAUGCGGC